GAGGAUUCGUCUCCUCCUCCACGACGGCUGCUUAUCCUUCCCUCCAUCGCGGCCGCUGCACAUGAGAGUAGACAUGAUGUCCUGCAUUCGCUUGCUAGAGCACAUCCAUCACAAUAAUUGAUUAGCUAUGGAAGAUCGCAGAUGAAGAAGAAACCCCAAGCAAAUUGGAUGUCCCUGAUGCCAAGUAACAAAAGCGUAACCUUCUUCUAACCUCAC